GCAGAGCACUCCGUACGGGGGCAGCAGUGGGGAAUAUUGCACAAUGGGCGCAAGCCUGAUGCAGCCAUGCCGCGUGUAUGAAGAAGGCCUUCGGGUUGUAAAGUACUUUCAGCAGUGAGGAAGGUGGAUAUGUUAAUAGCAUAUUCAUUUGACGUUAGCUGCAGAAGAAGCACCGGCUAACUCCGUGCCAGCAGCCGCGGUAAUACGGAGGGUGCGAGCGUUAAUCGGAAUUACUGGGCGUAAAGCGCAUGCAGGUGGUUUGUUAAGUCAGAUGUGAAAGCCCGGGGCUCAACCUCGGAAUUGCAUUUGAAACUGGCAAACUAGAGUACUGUAGAGGGGGUAGAAUUUCAGGUGUAGCGGUGAAAUGCGUAGAGAUCUGAAGGAAUACCGGUGGCGAAGGCGGCCCCCUGGACAGAUACUGACACUCAGAUGCGAAAGCGUGGGGAGCAAACAGGAUUAGAUACCCUGGUAG
rnacentral:rRNA from 1 species